CAGUAGCCGCGGGAAUACGUAGGUGGCAAGCGUUGUCCGGAAUUAUUGGGCGUAAAGGGCUCGCAGGCGGUUUCUUAAGUCUGAUGUGAAAGCCCCCGGCUCAACCGGGGAGGGUCAUUGGAAACUGGGAAACUUGAGUGCAGAAGAGGAGAGUGGAAUUCCACGUGUAGCGGUGAAAUGCGUAGAGAUGUGGAGGAACACCAGUGGCGAAGGUGACUCUCUGGUCUGUAACUGACGCUGAGGAGCGAAAGCGUGGGGAGCGAACAGGAUUAGAGACCCCAGUAGUCCCUGUCUCUUAUAC
rnacentral:rRNA from 1 species